rnacentral:rRNA from 1 species
GCAUGCCUAUACAUGCAGUCGAGCGAACAGAUGAAGUGCUUGCACUUCUGACGUUAGCGGCGAACGGGUGAGUAACACGUAAGGAAUCUACCUAUAAGCGGGGGAUAACAUUCGGAAACGGGUGCUAAUACCGCAUAAUAUUUUCUUCCGCAUGGAAGAAAAUUGAAAGACGGCUCUGCUGUCACUUAUAGAUGACCUUGCGGUGCAUUAGUUAGUUGGUGGGGUAAUGGCCUACCAAGACGAUGAUGCAUAGCCGACCUGAGAGGGUGAUCGGCCACAUUGGGACUGAGACACGGCCCAAACUCCUACGGGAGGCAGCAGUAGGGAAUCUUCCGCAAUGGGCGAAAGCCUGACGGAGCAAUGCCGCGUGAGUGAAGAAGGCCUUCGGGUCGUAAAACUCUGUUAUAAGAGAAGAACAAAUUGUAGAGUAACUGCUACAGUCUUGACGGUAUCUUAUCAGAAAGCCACGGCUAACUACGUGCCAGCAGCCGCGGUAAU